rnacentral:tRNA from 1 species
GCCCCCGUAGCCUAGUUUGGAUAAGGCGUCGGCCUUCUAAGCCGAAGAUCGAGGGUUCAAUACGCUAAAGCAAAUGCAAAGAGAUUUUGGGAAUCCCCCCGGGGGCA